ACACGACUACAUUAGAUACCCCUGUAGUCCUAGCCGUAAACGAUACUCGCUAGGUGUCGGCCACGGUGCGACCGUUGUCGGUGCCGUAGGGAAGCCGUGAAGCGAGCCACCUGGGAAGUACGGCCGCAAGGCUGAAACUUAAAGGAAUUGGCGGGGGAGCACAACAACGGGUGGAGCUUGCGGUUUAAUUGGAUUCAACGCCGGAAAUCUUACCGGGACCGACAGCAACAUGAAGGCCAAGCUGAAGACUUUUGCCGGAUUAGCUG
rnacentral:rRNA from 1 species